rnacentral:lncRNA from 1 species
AUGAGCUCUAACCCUCAAAGCAUCUGCCACAAUACAUUUGUUAAUCCUCAGUGUAGCGCACGGCUUAAUCUUGUUUUUGCUACAAGAGUUCUUUCUCUCACCCUGGACCUUCCACAGAUAUAUAAACCCCACUUUCGUUUCCAACAGACCUCACAGCCUCUGAGGAUGCCUGCCAUAGAUGUGGGCAAAACAUCAGGAGAGAAUGCUUCUGGAACAUGUCCAUACUGUCCAGAAAACACAGCAACCCACUGAUUCUGGCCACAAAAACACAGUCGUUUGUAAGUUGGAUGUUUGCAAUUUGGGGACUUCCUAUAUUUGGAAAGCAGCUGACUGCUUCAAACUCAGUAUCACUGAUUUAGUUUGUCUUCUUCCUUAAGCAACCAUAUUUUACAAAAAGCAUAUACAGUAGAGUCUCAUUUAUCCAACGUUCUGGAUUAUCCAACGCAUUUUUGUAGUCAAUAUUUCAAUAUAUUGUGAUAUUUUGGUGCUAAAUUCAUAAAUACAGUAAUUACAACAUAACAUUACUGCAUAUUGAACUGCUUUUUCUGUCAAAUUUGUUGUAAAACAUGAUGUUUUCGUGCUUAAUUUAUAAAAUCAUAACCUAAUUUUAUGUUUAAUAGGCUUUUCCUUAAUCCCUCCUUAUUAUCCAAUAUAUUCGCUUAUCCAAUGUUCUGCGGCCCGUUUAUGUUGGAUAAGUGAGACUCUACUGUACUUAGCAAUACUAGACUGCCCCCUAGUGGUCACUUCCAGUAUUUGCAGGUCCUCUCAUCCCUGGGAAUUAAACCUUCAAUGGCCAUUCCUAAUGACAAAAAUGACACUGCAAAACCUUCUAAACUACAUUUCCCCUCCAGGAACUGUAUGGGUAUUGUCACCAUAUUUGAAGGAGUCCAGAGCAUUUUAGAUCCAGAUUAAGACUUUUGAUAAAAACUGGACAUGAUUGGAGGUUUACUUUUCUGGACUCAGAAUUGCCCAGAGAAACUCCAAAAUAUGAUGAAAAUGCUUCCUUUCCCCAUAAUGCAUUGAGGGCAUUUUAGAACCAAAAUUACAACUCCUGAGAAUCCUGGAAGUCACAAAACAGCCCAGUGUGUUUAUGUGUGUGCGUUGCCCAUGGCAUAGAUCAGUGAUGGCCAACCUAUGACACGCGUGUCAGCACUGACACGCCUAGCCAUUUUUGCUGACACACUGCCGCAUGCAGAUUGAUUGGAUGACUAUGUCUUUUGUGGCCAAAUUUGAUGUGAUUUGGUCCAGUGGUUUUGUUGUUUAGUCCAUGGGAAUUAUGCACAUUACAUUUAUUUAUAUAUAUUUAUUAUUAAUUAAUUAUAUCAUUCUAUUAUUAUUGUAGUAUAUUAUCAUAUUAUUACUAUUAUUAUUAUAUUAUUCAUUGGGCUCGGGCUGUGGUGCAGGUUGGAGAGCAGCUGCAAUGAAUCACUGCAAUGAAUCACUCUGACCAGGAGGUCAUGAGUUCGAGGCCCGCUCAGAGUCUUGUUUUUGUUCUAUGUUAAAAGGCAUUGAAUGUUUGCCUAUAUGUGUAAUGUGAUCUGCCCUGAGUCCCCUUCGGGGUGAGAAGGGCGGAAUAUAAAUGCUGUAAAUAAAUAAAUAAAUAAAUAAAUAUUCAUGACUACACUGAAACUAGAAUAGAGAGAAAUCAGUGUGGAAACUGCAAGAGGUACCAUAGGUUGUUGUUCAUGGAAAUAAUGGUUUUUGUUUUUUGUUUUUUCGUGUCAGGAGCAACCGAAGUUGCUUCUGGAGUGAGAGAAUUGGCCGUCUGCAAGGACGUUGCCCAGGGGACGCCUGGAUGUUUUGAUGUUUUUACCAUCCUUGUGGGAGGCUUCUCUCAUGUCCCCGCAUGGAGCUGGAGCUGAUAGAGGGAGCUCAUCCGCACUCUCCCCAGGUGGGAUUCAAACCUGGCAGCUUUCAGGUCAGCAACCCAACCUUCAAGUCACUUAGCCCACUACGCCAUCUGGGGGCUCUAAUAAUAAUAAUAAUAAUAAUAAUAAUAAUAAUAAUAUAAUAUAUCAAUAGCAACAUCUGUAGGCAAGAUGGAAAUAAUGGUAGUAAAUAGUUUUUGAUUUAUUAAAUGCAGUUAUAUAUUACAAUUAUAUAUUUUUGUUAUUUAAACUAAACAUAUUGUGAAAAUACGUUUUUUUUCCCCUCAAACUGACACACCACCCAAGUCAUGCUAGGUUUUUUGGUGAAUUUUGACACACCAAGCGCAAAAGGUUGCCCAUCAUUGGCAUACAUGGUGCUUCAUAUAUUCUGUUGUACAAGACUACAGAAAUAUUGGAACAGCGCUUAGAAGUGUUACAAAAAGGAAUCUGAGGCUGGAUCUACACUACUUAAGCAGCUGGGUGGGAGGGGAGAAAGGGGCCUGAGGCUGUUAGGAAUGGUGGGAGUUGAAGUCCAAAACACCUGGACAGCACAAGUUUGCCUAUGCCUGAUCUAGUUAGUUACAUCUGGUCAGCAUCUUAGUUGGCUCUAAAUGUUACUCAUAUAACCCACAAGAGGGUGCUGUUGC